GAAGUGCGAUAAGCAAUGCGAAUUGCAGAACCGUGAGUCAUUAGAGUUUUGAACGCAACUGGCGCCGGUGGGACAUCCUGCCGGCAUGCUUGUUUCAGUGUCUCCUCAAUCGUGAGAUCUACGGUCUCAAUCUUAAUGCGAGAGAUGUCUUCUCUUGUGAAGUACGAUCUAGCACACUGCAACCUGCACGCGACUUCGGUCGCCCUGAAUGCAGCAGACACCUCGUGUGUACUCAUUCAGAGCAUGUAGCAGACAGCGAAAGCGACGUGCUCGGAGCGAAUACCUUUCUCUGUAUCUGAAAUCAAGCAGGACCACCCGCUGAACUUAA
rnacentral:misc_RNA from 1 species